GCCCCCGCCAGCCGGCCCCGCCCCCGCCUCGGCAACUGUCAUCAGCCGUCGCCUUCACGACGGGCCGAAUGGUCUCCUUCGUUGCGGCAACCUAUCCCAGCGAGUGCCACAAAGACAUUCAGCAAAUCAGCUGCACAACAGGAUGUCCCAACUGAGAUGUGAUGUGCCGAUACUUGAGAAUGUGGCUGAGUUGGAGAGGCAGCUGGGGCCGGCCGGGAGGCACAUAUUUAACUGGGAGACAAUGAAAGAAACCUCCUGGACAUGCAAUAACAGUAAGAUGGAGCCAUGAAGAAAUUGUGCAAGCACUGGGAUUCAGGGUUUACGUAUGAAGAUGUAUGACAGAUAUUGGAAGUGUCACAUAAGUAAAUUAAAUGCACUGAUACUUAAGAAGAUGGUGUUCAAGAACAUAAAAUACAGAAUGAGUGUAGAUAUAGAGUGUAGGAUGGUUUUUGUGAUGCAGCCAAAUGAAUGACGCACAGUUUACAUAAACAGUUUACUCGAAUUGAGUACCCGAGUACACAAGUUAGGGAUGGCAAAUGCAAUUGUUGAGGUCUCAGAGAUUGGGCAGUUAAGUAAAUCAAUUAAGUUUAUAGUUAGUUGAAUUUAUAACUGUGCAAACAUGUAAAUAUUUAACUUAAUAUCAUAAAAAAUGAUAACAGUGCAUAUAUAUGUAAAUAUUUAACUUCCUAACCGUAUAAUGUUGUGGAUUUGUGUGGUUUUAGUUAAAGGGGAAACUGGGUAGUGUAAAUAAUUCUUAGGGUGCCUGUAGGAACUGAAUGUACUUUAUUGAAUAACUUUGAUACAAUGUACUAGACAGCUGUUUAGUUGAGAAUUACUGCCAAUGAACUAUGUUCUCUUCAUAAUGCUACCUUUGUCUAAUCGCUUAUGCAUAAAGCAACACAAAGAAACCUAUAGUUGUAAGAAAGAAGAUAUGUUGUAUAAACUUAUAGUUUGCUACAAUGUAACAUCUAACAAAACAGGUUUCAUUCCAAGCAAUUUUAUUGCAUAUUUACGUACUAUAAUAUACCUUAAUUUCAGUUUCUUUUAGACACUAAUCUGUAAAUGGCACAAGAUAAGUACAUCAUUGUUAUUUAAUCUAUUUUAAUAGCAAUAAUAGAAGAUGUGAUCGAAAGUCCAUUCUAAUUAAGCACAUAAACAAGCAAUCUUAAAAUCUUAAA